rnacentral:rRNA from 1 species
GAGAGGCUACUGGUAUAAUACUACUGGAUAGUGGACGUACUCGCAGAAUAAGCACCGGCUAACUCUGUGCCAGCAGCCGCGGUAAUACAGAGGGUGCGAGCGUUAAUCGGAUUACUGGGCGUAAAGCGUGCGUAGGCGGCUUUUUAAGUCGGAUGUGAAAUCCUGAGCUUAACUUAGGAAUUGCAUUCGAUACUGGGAGGCUAGAGUAUGGGAGAGGAUGGUAGAAUUCCAGGUGUAGCGGUGAAAUGCGUAGAGAUCUGGAGGAAUACCGAUGGCGAAGGCAGCCAUCUGGCCUAAUACUGACGCUGAGGUACGAAAGCAUGGGGAGCAAACAGGAUUAGAUACCCUGGUAGUCCAUGCCGUAAACGAUGUCUACUAGCCGUUGGGGCCUUUGAGGCUUUAGUGGCGCAGCUAACGCGAUAAGUAGACCGCCUGGGGAGUACGGUCGCAAGACUAAAACUCAAAUGAAUUGACGGGGGCCCGCACAAGCGGUGGAGCAUGUGGUUUAAUUCGAUGCAACGCGAAGAACCUUACCUGGUCUUGACAUACAGAGAACUUUCCAGAGAUGGAUUGGUGCCUUCGGGAACUCUGAUACAGGUGCUGCAUGGCUGUCGUCAGCUCGUGUCGUGAGAUGUUGGGUUAAGUCCCGCAACGAGCGCAACCCUUUUCCUUACUUGCCAUCGGGUCAUGCCGGGAACUUUAAGGAUACUGCCAGUGACAAACUGGAGGAAGGCGGGGACGACGUCAAGUCAUCAUGGCCCUUACGACCAGGGCUACACACGUGCUACAAUGGUCGGUACAAAGGGUUGCUACCUAGCGAUAGGAUGCUAAUCCCAGAAAGCCGAUCGUAGUCCGGAUUGGAGUCUGCAACUCGACUCCAUGAAGUCGGAAUCGCUAGUAAUCGCGGAUCAGAAUGCCGCGGUGAAUACGUUCCCGGGCCUUGUACACACCGCCCGUCACACCAUGGGAGUUUGUUGCACCAGAAGUAGGUAGUCUAACCGCAAGGAGGACGCUACCACGGGUCCG